rnacentral:rRNA from 1 species
UACAGAGGUCUCAAGCGUUGUUCGGAUUCAUUGGGCGUAAAGGGUGCGUAGGCGGCGCGGUAAGUCGGGUGUGAAAUCUCGGAGCUUAACUCCGAAACUGCAUUCGAUACUGCCGUGCUUGAGGACUGGAGAGGAGACUGGAAUUUACGGUGUAGCGGUGAAAUGCGUAGAUAUCGUAAGGAAGACCAGUGGCGAGGGCGGGGUCUCUGGACAGUUCCUGACGCUGAGGCACGAAGGUCAGGGGAGCAAACGGG